rnacentral:lncRNA from 12 species
CUAGGUUUGUCAUAAUAACUUGGUGUGUGAUCCUGUGUUAAGUGGAGAGUGAGAGAAAGAAUCGGCCACAUAGCCAGCAUCCCUUGAUAGACACUAUACCUAUUCAGAGCCAGAGAUUUGAGGCAAAACAUCCCCGUCCUCGGGGGGGGAAAAAAAAGGCUUAUUUUUCUUUUUCAUAGACUCUAGCCUUCAGUAAUAAUUGUGUGCUUUGUGAUUGUGGUUCAGGGAUAGUACCUAUCACAUUAGAGUUCAAUUUUAAUAUAUCUAGAGCUCUUUAAUAAGACAGUCUGUUAAGACUAGGGCACUGACUGAUUAAUAAGUUGGUUCAAGUAGACUUUCGUUCGGUUCUCAGGAAUAAGUGCUCUGUCUAGUUGAUAAAUUUCCACACUAAACACAAACGUUGUUAUUUGUCAUAUACUAACUGUUUUAAUGGGCCAUUCUUCAUGAUCUUUAACAACUAUCAAUUGAUCUCUAGAACUCAGAUGUCACACUGCAAUCCAGCUAUGUUCAAAGAAUCUAAGUUUAAGUGAACUACAAUAUAAAAGAAGUUAAAAAAAAAAAGACCAUUAAUUUGUUCUAAGGACAGAAAUAUAUUAAGCACAUUAAUGAAGAUGUGAACAACAAGCAGUGACUCAGGGCUGUUAUUUUUCUCCACAGCAGAAAUAUAGUAAUCAAUCCAGACAGUUAUAGCUUCAGAUCCUUGGGUUUUAAUAAAGUUUUAGGGUAGAAAGAGUCCCUUUAACUCCUGAAGACAGUAAAUCACAGUUUGUGUGGUGGUUCUCAGAAGACACUUAAAGAACUGAAUUGGAUGCUCUACAUAGCACCCUUGCCAAAAGAGUUCGGAAAUGACUUCCAGCUUCCCACAGUAAUAAAAUGGCACUGUUUGGCAUCUUUAAGGUCUCAAGCACGUCACUCUGAACCACACAAUUAGUUCUGAAGAGCAUGGAGCCUACAUAGAUUCAUAAGGUAAAUGAUUAAUUUCAAAAUAUGAUGUCAGAGAUUCAAUUACAGUAUGAAUUCCAGCAUUGUAUAAAUAUGUUGUUUUUCAUUCAUCUUUUGGAGAUUGGGUAGUGCUGUGGGAACAAUAAACUGCAUUUGUGGGUUGGCUCUCUGCA